GGAAAACACAGAUAUUUACAUUAUAAUUCAUAACAGUAGCAGGAAUAUGCUUAUGAAGUAUCAAUGACAAUAAUUUUAUGCAUGAGGGUAACCACAUGCAUAAAGCUGAAUGAAAGGGUUGCAGCAUAAGGAAGGCUGAGACCCUUUGAAGAAAGCAAUUCAAUUGAAAGCGGGGUGUGAUAGUGUUAGCCUGUGAUCCCAGCACUUUGGAGGGAAGCAGAGGCAGGAAGCUAGCCUAGGAACUUCCAUGAUUCGCCUGUUUCUGCCUCCCAUCUCACCACAGGAGCCCUGGGACGCUACACACAAAUGUUCUCAUGCCCAGUUGUAUGUGGGUCAUGGGUUCAAAGUCAGGUCCUCGUAUUCGUGCGACGAGUGCUUUUGCCAUCUCCAAACCUCUGAAAUCCAACUUAAACACACUGUCUCCUUGGACCUGUCUGCCGUCAGCCCCUCAUUCUGCUGUCCUGCUAAUCUCCCACCAGUGGGGCAGUGGCAUGCAUUCCCUUACCGGUGAUUUCAUCUCAUGAUGGGCAGUUCCAGGCUCAGCGGACCCACUGCUACUGGUGCGGCGAGAGCCAGAGCCCAGUGCUUCCCCCACACCUGUGCUGGAGCUCUUGGGCAGUGACAUCGGUGUAGCAGCUGUGUGGAUGAUGAGAGGUGGCAAAAGGCUCUUUCGUAGUUCCGAGUGUUCUCCCAAGGCCACCACUGCAAGAGGAGAGGGGAUUCUGAGUCCAUCCCGGCUGGUCCAAAGGCCAGAGGCUGCACCCUCAGGACCACUACUCACGGGCCAAGCGCUUCUUCCUGUCCCCAUCACCAUCCACACUGGGCGAAAAGAAAUCAGGCUCUGACUCAGACUUGGUGGCAUCUCCCUAGGGUCAGGGAACAGUGGGCCAUUAGGACCCUGGCCAGGUUGUCCCUCCCUGAACUUCAAACCUAUGGAUCUGUGAAGGAAACAGGAAGACCCAAGCCAGAGCGACUUCGCACAAAGAUGCCACUUUAGUCCCUUGACCUCUGACCUCUGACCUCUGACCUCCUCAAGCCUUCCCCAAGCCACAGCUCCUUCCUGGCCCCAUUUCUAUUUCUCUCUCUUGUCUCUGGAUAGGAUUUUUUUUUUACUUCCUUCUUAGCAGGUCAGUAGGUUUCCCAGUAAUUAUACACUUCUCCUUAAGAAGUUAUUAAAAAAAAUACUUGAUUGC